GCCGGUGUGGUGGAAUUGGUAGACACAGGGGAUUCAAAAUCCCCCGCCCUUAAAAGCUUGACGGUUCGAGUCCGUCCUCCGGUACCA
rnacentral:tRNA from 1 species